rnacentral:lncRNA from 1 species
GUGUUCCGACCCGCUAGGCCCCGCGCGGCUCGGAUCCGGCGGCGCUGUUUCGGUCGGGAGUGGGUGGGAGAGAAGCCGGGGCAGGGGAGGAGCCGCCGGAGCUGUCGGAGCCGUGACACCCAGGGCAGCUACACUCAGAAGCCACAAGGAAUGCUAGUGGAGCCCCUCAUCCCUCCCAGCUUCUCUUCCAAGCUGCCCCGUGGGGCUUGAUCCAGGAAGCUACUUCAGAAAGGUUGUGGGAUAGCCUUGGGAGGAGGUUUGUUGGUGGGAAGCGUGUGAACGCGGAGCAGUCUGGGAUAACUUUCUGCUGUUACUAUCUAGCAUAAGAGGGUGGGCAGGGUUGGAGAGAGGACAGGAAUUUUUCCUCCUAGGACCAAACGCCUGGGAUUCAUAAUCUUUCACCCUUUCUCCUCCAGCUAUACCCUUUUUGUACUCUGUGUAUAUACUAUAUUGCAGUAGACAAUCAUUCCAAGGGUACAACAAGGUUUACCACAAUGUGAGGGACUCAGCCAUUGCAAAUUCUCUAGAUGGUGUGAGACCACCCCAAAGCCAAGAAAUGGCUACAGCCGUGGAACCAGAGGACCA